CUACGUGCCAGCAGCCGCGGUAAUACGUAGGGCGCGAGCGUUGUCCGGAAUUAUUGGGCGUAAAGGGCUUGUAGGCGGUUGGUCGCGUCUGCCGUGAAAUCCUCUGGCUUAACUGGGGGCGUGCGGUGGGUACGGGCUGACUUGAGUGCGGUAGGGGAGACUGGAACUCCUGGUGUAGCGGUGGAAUGCGCAGAUAUCAGGAAGAACACCGGUGGCGAAGGCGGGUCUCUGGGCCGUUACUGACGCUGAGGAGCGAAAGCGUGGGGAGCGAACAGGAUUAGAUACCCUGGUAGUCCACGCUGUAAACGUUGGGCACUAGGUGUGGGGGCCACCCGUGGUUUCUGCGCUGUAGCUAACGCUUUAAGUGCCCCGCCUGGGGAGUACGGCCGCAAGGCUAAAACUCAAAGGAAUUGACGGGGGCCCGCACAAGCGGUGGAGUAUGUGGUUUAAUUCGACGCAACGCGAAGAACCUUACCAGGUCUUGACAUUGAUGGACAGAACUAGAGAUAG
rnacentral:rRNA from 1 species